UGGCGGACGGGUGAGUAACGCGUGGAAAACCUGCCGUACACUGGGGGAUAACACUUAGAAAUAGGUGCUAAUACCGCAUAAGCGCACAGCUUCGCAUGAAGCGGUGUGAAAAACUCUGGUGGUAUACGAUGGUUCCGCGUCUGAUUAGCUAGUUGGUGGGGUAAUGGCCUACCAAGGCAACGAUCAGUAGCCGGCCUGAGAGGGUGAACGGCCACAUUGGGACUGAGACACGGCCCAAACUCCUACGGGAGGCAGCAG
rnacentral:rRNA from 1 species